UACGAAGGGGGCUAGCGUUGCUCGGAAUCACUGGGCGUAAAGCGCACGUAGGCGGAUUGUUAAGUCAGGGGUGAAAUCCUGGAGCUCAACUCCAGAACUGCCUUUGAUACUGGCGAUCUCGAGUCCGGGAGAGGUGAGUGGAACUGCGAGUGUAGAGGUGAAAUUCGUAGAUAUUCGCAAGAACACCAGUGGCGAAGGCGGCUCACUGGCCCGGUACUGACGCUGAGGUGCGAAAGCGUGGGGGAGCAACAGG
rnacentral:rRNA from 1 species